GGAAAGCGAAAAACGGCGUAACGGUACUGCGGUGAAAUGCGUGACAUUUGAAGGCUUAGUUAGUCGUUGGAAAGCCGUCGGAGCCAGAAGAUCACAGUCUACGUCACUGCCGCCGUCACUGAGCAGAAAAACUACAGUUUUAUCAGAUCUUCUAAGAACUCACUGCACACCAUGUGGAUACCAAGUUUCAGGAGGAAUUGUGGCGACCAGGAGGCAGCACACGGACAGUACACAGAGAACAGAGACAGAGCACAGAGCACGGGAUAAGGGAGAAGACACGGAACAGGAGUCGGGAUCGCACUGGGGAUUUAUUGUUGUUUGGAUUUUCACCACUGUAAAUAAACAC